rnacentral:rRNA from 1 species
CCUACGGGGGACAGCAGUGGGGAAUAUUGCGCAAUGGGCGAAAGCCUGACGCAGCGACGCCGCGUGAGGGAUGAAGGUCUUCUGAUCGUAAACCUCUGUCAGUAGGGAAGAACGGUCACUGUGCUAAUCAGCAGUGAAUUGACGGUACCUGCAAUGGAAGCACCGGCUAACUCCGUCCCAGCAGCCGCGGUAAUACGGAGGGUGCGAGCGUUAAUCGGAAUGACUGGGCGUAAAGCGCUCGUAGGCGGUAUGUCAAGUCAAGGGUGAAAUCCCCGCGCUCAACGUGGGAACUGCCUUUGAAACUGGCAGACUGGAGUGUGUGAGAGGGUAGUGGAAUUCCAGGUGUAGGAGUGAAAUCCGUAGAUAUCUGGAGGAACAUCAGUGGCGAAGGCGACUAUCUGGCACAUAACUGACGCUGAGGAGCGAAAGCGUGGGUAGCAAACAGGAUUAGAUACCCUUGUAGUC